rnacentral:rRNA from 1 species
GACGAACGCUGGCGGCGUGCCUAACACAUGCAAGUCGAACGGAACUGUUUUGAAAGAUUUCUUCGGAAUGAAUUUGAUUUAGUUUAGUGGCGGACGGGUGAGUAACGCGUGAGUAACCUGCCUUCAAGAGGGGGAUAACAUUCUGAAAAGAAUGCUAAUACCGCAUGACAUAUCGGAAUCACAUGGUUUUGAUAUCAAAGAUUUUAUCGCUUGAAGAUGGACUCGCGUCCGAUUAGUUAGUUGGUGAGGUAACGGCUCACCAAGACCGCGAUCGGUAGCCGGACUGAGAGGUUGAACGGCCACAUUGGGACUGAGACACGGCCCAGACUCCUACGGGAGGCAGCAGUGGGGGAUAUUGCGCAAUGGGGGCAACCCUGACGCAGCAACGCCGCGUGAAGGAUGAAGGUUUUCGGAUUGUAAACUUCUUUUAUUAAGGACGAAACUUGACGGU